AUGAAAAAGAACAUUGGUGGUGAACUCAUAAAAUCGAAUGCGGCCCGGUUUGGAACGGUGUUCAUGUUCUUGGAGAGUUUCCAUUGUAAGAAAGAUGAGUUUAGGAAAUGGAUGGUGUCCGGUGAUUGGAAGGGAAGUACUUGGAACGGUGCUGCUGAUUAUGUGUUUGCUGAAGAGCUGCUAUCUAGUAAUAUGUGGUGGGCAGCUUUAGAGUGGGUUCUUGCUGUGCUAGAGCCACUCUAUAAAGCCCUUAGAUAUGCUGAUACACAAAAGAGAUGCACCCUAUCUGGAUUCAAGAAGAGUAUGAUGACAGCCAUACAAAAGUUGGAAAGUCAUCUUGGUGGUGGAUCACAAAUGUUUCAUAGAGUCAUGAGCAAGGUGUCCAAGAGGAUCGAUGCUAUGCAAGAAGGCACACUAUUGGUUGCAGUUGCUGUUCUUGAUCCUUACACACAUUAUCAGAUCAACAUGAGCAAGAUUAUGGACUAUGCUCUUGCACUAACAGAUGCCAUUGAGAAGAUCGCAGACCCUGAGACCGCUGUUUUGGCCAUUGAUGAAGUCAGCACUUAUAGGGAAUGUCAUGGGAGGUUUGGCUCAAGGCUGGCACGUUCCUCUGCAGAGAAAAUGUCACCAACUGAGUGGUGGUUCCAAUUUGGAGGGGAAGUUCCUAAUCUGCAGAAGUGUGCCUUGAGGAUUGUAUCACAAUGCGUUUCGUCAAGUGGCUGUGAGAGGAAUUGGAGCGCUUUUGCUUUGGUCCACACCAAGCAAAGAAACCGUCUUCUAUAUGGCAAGCUGCACAAGCUUGUAUCUGUGCGCUACAACUUGAAGAUACGUGCUGAAGAAGAAGAAGACCCGGUGAGAGAGAAUGAUAAGCAGAAGGAAGUUGAUGCAUGUGCAAUGAUGAUGGAUACAACCAUGUUUGAUGCAACAAAUCCUAUGAUGGAAUGGUUGAAUGAGGAUGAGGAGCAUGCAAUCUUGGAUGGAGUUGAUGCUGCUAGUGUCGUAUUUGAGAAAAUACGUUUGCUUAUCUCAAGUAGGAAAGUUUCUCGUCUUGCAAGGAAGGACAAUGGCAGGAAAAGAAAGAGGGUAGAGGAAGAAGAGGAUGACUACCAUGAUAGUGAGGAUGAUGAUGAAGAAAAUGAGGAGCUGGACCUGGAAAUUGAUGAUGAUGAUGAUAGCCAUGAUGAUGGUGCAAGUCAAUCUGAUGGAGGAGAUUCGCCAAUGCAAGUUGAAAAGGAUUUAACAAGCCAAGUUGGAAACAAUGUUGAGGUAACAAGUGAUGGUAGUUUGGUGAACCGUAGAUCUGAACGGGUUAGGCAAGCAAAGAAGGUCAAGGAGGUCACCAGCCUUUACAAUUGA
rnacentral:rRNA from 1 species